AAAAAAAAAAAAAAAGGAGCGAGUUUGAAACAUGGCGGACGACGCGGACCAGCAACAAACUACCAACACUGUAGAGGAGCCCCUGGACCUGAUCAGGCUCAGUCUAGAUGAACGAAUUUAUGUGAAAAUGAGAAAUGACCGAGAGCUUCGAGGAAGACUACAUGCUUACGAUCAGCACUUAAAUAUGAUUUUGGGAGAUGUGGAGGAGACCGUGACAACUAUAGAAAUCGACGAAGAAACCUACGAAGAGAUAUAUAAACCUGCUAAAAAAAUUUGGUGGAUGAAUGCAAACACAGCUAUAUUGAUUGGAAUUUCACCUCCUUUCACUUUCUGCUCCUGUGGAGUUGCCAGUGAAUAGCAAAAUGGCCAAAGGGCAGGAAAAGCCAGAGGACCAUCCACAGAGAGGCUAUCCACCAAGCGGAAUAUUCCCAUGCUGUUUGUUCGAGGCGAUGGUGUUGUACUGGUAGCUCCUCCUUUGCGAGUUGGUUGAAACUAAGGAUUUACUCUGGAAAAUCGGGGGCUUUGUACUAUUGUUCCUGUAAAAGAGUUUACAAAAACAGCCACCCACAACUGUGUUUCCCCCUUUUGCCAGAAUCUGUGUUAUUUACAAAUUAUCUGUGAGUCAACAACUUUAAAAUGUACAAGGCCUUUAUCUUUUCUGCCUUCCUAGGCCCCUCAAGUGUACACAUUAUAAUGCGGAAACUUUAAAUGCAAAAUUGGUUUAUUCCUUUCAGUUCCUAUAAUCUAUUUUUUAUUAAAUAUGGUUUGUCCUUCGAAUUUUUCACCA